rnacentral:tRNA from 1 species
CGUCCCCAGGUGGGCUCGAACCACCAACCUUUCGGUUAACAGCCGAACGCGCUAGCCGAUUGCGCCACGGAGAC